AACUAUUUGAAAUUUAUAAUUUAAUGCAAUAUAAAUAAUAUUUAAAUAUAUAAUAUGUAUAUUUUGUAGUAUUUAUUAUUAUUUUUAAAAUUAUUACUUUUAAUGAUUAUUAAUUUUGAUUUUACGUACGAUUUUACUUUUUUAAACGAUCUUAAACAAUAACUGAUGGCAACGUUGCUUACAAAAUGGGCGCAUUUUGGCUAUAAAUCAGGGCGUUAAGUAUUAUUAUUUUAGGCGCAAAUGGGCUAUUCUAGGGCGUCAAAAAUAUUUACAAAUAGGUAAUUGGUUUCGCUGUUCAGAAAACGAAAUGGCACGGGUAUUGUUAUUUCUAUUAACUUCUUUUAUGAGUUGACAUACAAAUUACCGGUUACAAAAAAUUAAAAUUGUUAGUCUUAACUAAAAGCUUCAAUACCUAAUAAUUAGACAUUUACAGGCUGUCAUUAAAAAAAUUAUCGUUCCAAUCGAGAUAGAUUGAUUCAUGAAAUUCGUGUUUUACUAGGUAAUAUAACUAAUAUUCUUAUAAAUUCAAAAAUAUAAUUGGCUUUAACUUGGCCGAUUUUUAUUUAAUUUUAAUAUUUUUACUUAAACUGUUGUAAAAAAUAUGAUCAAUAAAAUUGUUAUCUUGAUAAUUUAAAAAACUUAAUUACAUAAAAACAUUUUUUGAUAAUUAUUGAAGUUUUGAAAGAAAAAAAUGAGAUGCCAUUCAAUCAGAAUUUCUAUACAUCUUAUUCAACAAAAAACACAUUUCAAUAAAUUAAUUUUCCAUGUGAUAUACCGUACCUUUAUUAUGAAAAAUAGAACACAAUUAAGUAGAUACUAUUAGAUUUUAGAUAUUUGAUAAAGAAUACAUCAGUACUUACAACACGAUACAUUAGAAUUUUUGUAGCCAGUACAAAUUGUGUACAGGUGUCAGGUAGGUAUUUAAUGAAUAAUUAGUUUUGAAUUGUUGUCUUAAGAAUAAUAUUAGUCAUAUUAUCUUCAUACCAUGCAUACUAUGCAUAUACGUACAUUGCAUAAAAUAUAUAUAAUUGUCUAUACUAGUGGUUUUAAAUCUGCGUUGCAGCUCAUAGAGGCGUCGUCGGUAUAAAUUAAAAAUAAAAUAACUAACAAUAUAUUUUUUUUGUAGUUAAUUAACUAUAUAUUUUUACCUUGAUGAAUAUGUUGUUAUCUUUAUAAAGAUGAAUUCCAUUUAACUAACCUAAUUUUCAUCUAGAUUUUGUAAUAUUAAAAUUAUCUCGAUAUUUUUUUAAUUAUUCUCGAACUAAUUGUACAAAACAGUCGUAUACUCGUAUCAUUGAAUUAUAGCCAUUUAUAGGUUAAUAUUAAAAUUCAGUAUAUUUUUACAGAUAUAGCAAGUAGCUACAAGAGUUCAUUAUAUGCUAAAAGUAUGUUUAAUACAUCAAAUCCGACAAAAACCUACUGUGAUUUUCUUACGAAAGAAAGUUGUGUGAAAAACAAUUUUAAUAAUUUACCAAAAAAAAUGAUAAUAAUUCCUAAUUAGGGAACAUUUUAUUAAAAAAAAAAAAAAAUCGCGGCUAAAAUUAUUUUUUUUUCUUUAUUAUUUAUUGUUAUUUAUGAUCUAUUAUCGAUAUCUAUAUUAUUCAGUAUAAUGACUAUAUAGUAUAUAAUACAUGUCAACAAUCAGGCAAAUAUUAAAUGUAACAAUAAAAUAAAUUUAUUAAAAAGUAUGUAAAAACACAAAAGAUAAUAAAAUGAUGUUAAUGUAUAUUUAGAUUUAUGUUAUAUUUGUAGUCAAAUUAAAUUUAAAAAACAGAAAUGGAAAUAAAUAUUUUUACAAAAAACUUGUUUCUACCAAAAUCAUUUUGAUUUUUUUGAUGUAAUUCGCUAUUUUUAAACUAAAUUAAUAACUGUAAAUAACAUGAUAUCGUGGUAUUAUUUUUCAUCAAUGAACCAGACAAAAAUGGCAAUGGUAAAAUAAUUAGUCUUUACAAAACAAGCAUCAAAUUAGGGGAGCCGUAAAAUCUCGGAAAGUAUUCCAACGGGCCGUAUAUAUUCGGAAAAAAAAUUAUAGUCCUGGACCGUAUAAAUCCGUGAUAAAAUAUUUUUCGGACCGUAUUAUGUCAGACCGUAUAAUAAUUGUGGAAUUUGAAAAUAAUCGGACCUUAUUGUCACGGACUGUAGAAAUUCAGAAAGUAUACUCACGGACCGUAUUUUAUUGGGAAAAAAAUAUAGACUUGAACCGUUUAUUAGGACCUAACCUAACCAGGACGAAAUUCGUAAGACAUAAAAUUGAUCCCCAUAACCAAUUUCAUAAGUUGUAUGAAUUUGAUUUUUCGAAAAACCGUUAUUAAAGAUUUUUAAACCGUCGUACUUAGAUCGAAAGAUUUUGAAAACCCAAAAUUUUAAAUAACGGGUUUUUGGAAAAAUUAAAAACUGAUUCUGGUGUAGAAUUUUUUGUAGAAUAUUAUAACCUCUGUGAUAAAGUUUUGUUGAACCACCUGGUGACCGAGAAAACGCGAAUGAAAAUUGAAAAUUUCGAAAUAUUAAAAAACUUGUUUAUACGUUGUAUUUGUUAGUACUUAGUUAAACGUUUGAUAAAAACAAAAAUUAUUGUGUAACAAUGUAACAAAAAAUAUAUAUUUUAUAAUAUUA